rnacentral:rRNA from 1 species
UGGGGGGGGGACGUGGCGCAGCAGGCGCGAAAAUUUUACAAUGCGGGAAACCGCGAUAAGGGGACACCGAGUGCCAGCAUAUUAUGUUGGCUGUCCAUAUGUAUAAAUAACAUGUGUUAGCAAGGGCCGGGCAAGACCGGUGCCAGCCGCCGCGGUAACACCGGCGGCCCGAGUGGUAGCCACUAUUAUUGGGUCUAAAGGGUCCGUAGCCGGUUUGAUCAGUCUUCCGGGAAAUCUGACAGCUCAACUGUUAGGCUUCUGGGGGAUACUGUCAGACUUGGAACCGGGAGAGGUAAGAGGUACUACAGGGGUAGGAGUGAAAUCUUGUAAUCCCUGUGGGACCACCAGUGGCGAAGGCGUCUUACCAGAACGGGUUCGACGGUGAGGGACGAAAGCUGGGGGCACGAACCGGAUUAGAUACCCGGGUAGUCCCAGCCGUAAACGAUGCUCGCUAGGUGUCUGGGAUGGUGCGACCGUUUCAGGUGCCGCAGGGAAGCCGUGAAGCGAGCCACCUGGGAAGUACGGCCGCAAGGCUGAAACUUAAAGGAAUUGGCGGGGGAGCACUACAACGGGUGGAGCCUGCGGUUUAAUUGGACUCAACGCCGGAAAACUCACCUGGGGCGACAGCAAUAUGUAGGUCAGGCUGAAGGUCUUACCUGAAUCGCUGAGAGGAGGUGCAUGGCCGUCGUCAGUUCGUACUGUGAAGCAUCCUGUUAAGUCAGGCAACGAGCGAGACCCGUGCCCACUGUUGCCAGCAUAUCCUUCGGGAUGAUGGGUACUCUGUGGGGACCGCCGCUGCUAAAGCGGAGGAAGGUGCGGGCUACGGUAGGUCAGUAUGCCCCGAAUCUCCAGGGCUACACGCGGGCUACAAUGACCGGGACAAUGGGCUCCUACCCCGAAAGGGGUUGGUAAUCUCAUAAACCCGGCCUUAGUUCGGAUCGAGGGCUGCAACUCGCCCUCGUGAAGCUGGAAUCCGUAGUAAUCGCGUUUCAAUAUAGCGCGGUGAAUACGUCCCUGCUCCUUCACGAAUUCGCCGA